rnacentral:rRNA from 1 species
UACGUAGGUGGCGAGCGUUGUCCGGAAUUACUGGGUGUAAAGCGCGUGUAGGCGGGAGGCCAAGUCUGUGGUGAAAUCGCUCGGCUUAACUGGGCGGGGUCCAUGGAACUGGUCACCUGGAGGUCGGUAGAGGCAAGUGGAAUUCCACGUGUAGCGGUGAAAUGCGUAGAUAUGUGGAGGAACACCAGUGGCGAAGGCGACUCUCUGGUCUGUAACUGACGCUGAGGCGACGAAGCGUGGGGAGCAAACAGG